GAUGAACGCUGGCGGCGUGCCUAAUACAUGCAAGUCGAGCGAACGGACGAGAAGCUUGCUUCUCUGAUGUUAGCGGCGGACGGGUGAGUAACACGUGGAUAACCUACCUAUAAGACUGGGAUAACUUCGGGAAACCGGAGCUAAUACCGGAUGAUAUUUUGAACCGCAUGGUUCAAAAGUGAAAGACGGUCUUGCUGUCACUUAUAGAUGGAUCCGCGCUGCAUUAGCUAGUUGGUAAGGUAACGGCUUACCAAGGCAACGAUGCCUAGCCGACCUGAGAGGGUGGUCGACCACACUGGAACUGAUACGCGGUCCAGACUCCUACGGGAGGCAGCAGUAGGGAAUCAUCCUCAAUGGGCGGAGGCCUGACGGAGCAACGCCGCGUGAGUGAUGAAGGUCUUCGGAUCGUAAAACUCUGUUAUUAGGGAAGAACAUAUGUGUAAGUAACUGUGCACAGCUUGACGGUACCUAAACAGAAAGCCACGGCUAACUACGUG
rnacentral:rRNA from 1 species